UACUAAUGGCGGCUGACGUGACAGAAUUGGAUGGCUUGCACGAAACUUCAUAUGUGUUUGUUCGUGUGCUUGGGAGAGGUGCAUUUGGCGAAGCCGUCCUCUACCGAAAGACAGAGGACAAUAGUUUGGUUGUAUGGAAGGAAAUCAACCUGGCCAGACUAAGUGAGCGGCAGAGGCGUGAUUCUCAGAAUGAAAUUGACGUACUCUCCUUUCUGAAUCACGCAAAUGUUGUGUCUUACUACAACCACUUCAUUGAGGAAGAUACACUCUUCAUUGAGAUGGAGUAUGCAAAUGGUGGAACUCUGUAUACCAAAAUUUCUCACCAGACAAAGUUCUUUUCUGAAGAUGUUGUCUUGUGGUACCUAUUCCAGCUUGCAUCAGCUUUGGCACACAUACACCAGUAUGGAAUUAUUCACAGGGACAUCAAGACGCUGAAUAUCUUUCUUACUAAAAUGGACCUGCUUAAACUAGGAGACUUCGGAAUUUCCAAAAUCCUGGAAACUGGUGCCCAGGCUCAGUCUAUAGUCGGAACACCUUAUUACAUGUCUCCAGAACUCAUGAAAGGAGAAACGUAUGACUUCAUGUGUGACAUCUGGGCUCUUGGCUGUGUUCUCUACGAGCUGCUGACACUCACAAGAACUUUCCAAGGAUCAAAUCCACUAAAGCUGGCAUACGACAUUGUGUUGACAGAUCACAAAGGAAUUGAUUCAAGUCAGUACUCUACAGCUAUCAGCUCUCUGCUCAACGACAUGUUGAAGAAAAAUCCACCUGAAAGACCCACGGCAGAAGAUGUGUUAAAGAAUCCACUUUUUACAAAUUCCAAAGAACUUGAAGAGCGAGUCUGGAGACUGAACUCUCAUGCACGCCGAGCACGGCAGUCGGCCAUUUCUGUUUGUGACUCGGUGCCAGUCGUGGAGUCCAAGAUGUGUGAGGUGUAUCAGUGGGGUGGGGGUAAAAGAACACCACAGAAGCUGGAAAUGUUUACACGAGAAAAGAGUCCGAUUCAGGUUGCUGCUGGUCAUUCCCAUUUUGCUGCCAUCACAUUUGAGAAGGAGCUCUUCACAUGGGCGAAUGUUCACGGAGACACUGCUAUUGUUGGACAGCUUGGUCACGGUGAUGUGGCGUCAUACAAGGCUCCCAAGAGAGUUGAUGCUUUACUAGAGAACUCUGUGGAGCAGGUCUCCUGUGGGGAAGACUUUACUUUGUGUGUCACAGAUGAGGGAGCCGUAUUUGCGUUUGGUUCAAACUAUUACGGGUGUCUCGGCUGUAGGAAUGAGGGUCAGGAGGAAAAGUUGUCUCCCAUACCGGUGAACUUCUUCGCGGAUAUUCCUGUACGAGAAGUGUCUUGUGGAGACGCUCAUGUCGUCGCUUUAACAAAACGUGGACACGUGUAUACCUGGGGCUGUGGAGAGUUCGGAAGACUAGGUCUUAAUUCAGAGGAGAGUUUUAAUUUUCCUCAAAAGGUAGCAAUUCCUGGCAAGCAUGAAGUGAAACAUGUAUGUGCAGCAUCUGAUGGAUCAUUUCUAGUCUCGGCUAAUGGCCGCCUGCUGGCAUGUGGCAGCAAUGAACACAACAAACUGGGCUUCAAUUCUAAAACAUCUGGACUUAGAAAGAGAAAGGCUCAGACAUACGACAUCCCAUGUAAAUACACGUUCACCACGGUCAAACCACUAAGUCAGUACAACAUUGUGUCAGUGGCUGCAGGGAAAACACACGCUGCGGUUGUUGAUUUGUAUGGUUACUUGUUCACGUUUGGGUCAAACAAGCACGGCCAGCUGGGUCAGGGUGACUUCCGAAGACACGAGGCUGCGAGUCGCGUGGGCGGGGUUCUGACCGGUCAGAGGGUCGAGAAGGUGGCGUGUGGUGACGGAUUUACUGUCAUAUCCACCACUGAGAACCAGAUCUAUUCAUUUGGAAAUGGUGAGAGUGGGCGACUGGGUGCUGUGUUUGAGCAGGGUAAGGGACCGAACGGCCAGUGUACUGCUCGUCCCAGGGCUAUCUUCGGAUCUCUGCAUCUCGUGGCGUCCAUCUCGUGUAGACACUGGAACACUCUUCUCAUUGCUGAAAAGAUUUUAAAUCAGAAAACACUGAAGACAAGGGUGUCAUCUCCAAAAUGGAGAGCCUGUGUGCCAGUUGUGAGUUUGCCUGUGGUAGAGUCGGUAUCAGAGGAAGACAGUGCAUUCAUCAUGGAUGGUGGGCUGAGCAGCGAUACGUCUAGUGGGCCGAUCCGAAAUGAACCGUUUGACUUUGUGUGUCAGUCCGACAUGGCUGAUUCGGGAGUACCUUACACACCUCCACUGUCUGCUCCACAAGCUCACCUGAAUGAGACAGAAGAAUCCAUGCCAUCCUGGCUACAAGAGGAAUUACAGAAUGCUGAAGUAAUACCAAUAACACCAGGUGAUUCAACACACUCAGGAGGUAAAGCCUCAGUCCAUGUAGCAGUUCAGGAAGAGGCAUCUGUGAACGAGAGUGAAAUUCAACUAGAGCGGCUACCUGUAGAUGAACCUGAAGAUCCACAGACGAUUAUAUCAGAGCUGCAAGCUAAGAUCAGACAUUUAGAGGAAGAAAACAAAAAGUUGUGGAAUUUGGUGAGCUCACAGCAAGAGAAGAUAAACAGCUUACAACAGAAUAAAUGAAAGGUCAAAUAAGGGAUGAAAAGAAGAAUGACAAAAGCAUGCUAGUGGAAAAAAUUAUGCAUCUUCUGUUUGUGUAAUUCUCACCGUAGAGAGUCGGUGUAAACCCACUGUCUAUGUCUGGUACUGUCGUCUAGCUCAGUCCGCAGAGAGUAGGUGUAAACCCACUGUCUAUGUCUGGUACUGUCGUCUAGCUCAGUCCGCAGAGAGUAGGUGUAAACCCACUCCCACUGUCUAUGUCUGGUACUGUCGUCUAGCUCAGUCCACAGAGAAUAGGUGUAAACCCACUGUCUAUGUCUGGUACUGUCAUCUAGCUCAAUCCCCAGAGAGUAGGUGUAAACUCAUUGUCUAUGUCUGGUACUGCCGUCACAGGAGCGGGAUCUACCUCAGUCCGUAGAGUUCUGUCCUGUCUGUGAGAAAGUGCCUAUAAAAUAUUUUUGCUGCUAUGGGUAAAAUAUAGAGGAUUUUCGGUACAACUAGGAUUCAAAAUUAUCAAAUGUUUGACAUCCAAUAGCCAAUGAUUAAUCAAUCGACAUGUGAUGUCGUCGAAUAAAUCAAUAUUUACGUGUUAAUUUGGGUUCAUAUCCCAGGGCUAUAGCCUGAUCCAGAGGGUGUGUGGUGUUUUCCAACUUUCUCAAAUCAGCUUGGUGCGAUGGCUUAUCGGGAGGACAUGUGAGUGCCAUCGGUUCAUAGCCCACAACAGUGGGUGGGAAGGUCAUUGGUACAUCCAUUUUUUCAAUGGCAUACCCGUAGAUGUGAUUUCCCUGGCAUCUUGACAAACAAAUUGUGUGUAAUGUAGAGGAGAAAAGUUUAGAUUCAAAGGGAAAUACCAGAUUUUACAAGUCUGGCUGGAUCACUUGUAGGCAAAUGGUUCACCAUUGGUUGGAUGGGUGGAUUAUAAUUACCUUUUUAUGGAAUGAAGGUCAUGUUUUAUACCCUUGAAAUUAUUCUCAAAUGCAAAAACAAGACAUGCUGUUGGCCAUUUAUAAUGUAAUAAUUAAUAACAAUUUGUUGUUGUUGUGGGUGUGAUUUUUAAUGUCCAUAUCACCGAGUGUGUUAUAUUUGUCAGUAUCAUGCACAUAGACUGCCUGUAUUUAUUUUUAGGCACUGGUCAAAUAAAGAUAAUUUAAUUUGGAAUUAUUUAUUUGCAGUAUAUUUACUUUUAAUUUUGUGUAGAAAUGUUUAUGCUACAGCUAUAAUGAUGCACCUUGUUGAUCCAUUUUAUAAACCAUUUUGUGUUUCCAUUGUGUGUGUGUGUGUGUGUGUGUGUGUGUGUGAUGUGUUACCUUUUUUUUCAUGUCUAUUUAUUUUUGUUAUUCCAUUGUUAUUCCUAACAACACUAUUAUUCUAAUGUACCAUAUUUAAUAUAAAUAACAUAUGAUUUUUUAUUAUAUCAGGUGGCCUCCUGAAUAUGGAAUUGGCUAAAAGGUAUGUAAGUAAACAAAAAUGUGAUGGCAAAAGCUAAGUUUAUUUACGGCACUGCAGCAGCCGGGGACAAUAUUUUAAAAUCUCAAGUAACUGGAAAUCAGUUCAUGUGAGUUUUACUUAGGUAACCGAUUGUUCGGUGAAUAUAGUUCUCAGAACCAAUGUGUGAGGCUUACCUAAUCCUAAAGCACUUGAACUAUGGUUCUGUGCUACAUUGGUGGUUCUAAUGUAUUUAAAAACAUAAAUUGAUUUUCACUUUCAUUACUGAUAUAUGGUACUUUUAAUUUUAGAAUGUAAUUGUUCACCACAUAAUCGAUUGGCAGUUCUCGUGAUUUUAAAGUUGCGUAACCGACACACAAACAGAACAACGGUUCUUGUGAAAUAUUGUGCCCUGGGCACUAAAUGAACUAAAAGACAAAAUAAGUAAGAAAUGGGAAGAAAUCACACUGGAAGAAAUCAAGACGGUGGACACAUUGACCACAUUUUCAAAUAAACAAAAGUAGAUAACAUUUCACUUCGCUUUUGCCAUCACAUUUUUUACUUACAAUUUUAAAUCAGUUAUGAUUUUAACAAUAUUUGGCCUAAAAUUGUCACUGAAGAUGAAAAAUAUCCAUAUACAUAAUUAUAGUAAUGACUCAUUACUAAUGAGUGUCAAAUAUUAAAAUUACAGUCAAAAUUACCUUUUAGACAAUCCCACAUUGAUUAGGUGUUACAUUUGUUUACUUACAAUUUUGUUUCUGUUGCUAUUUUAACAAGAUUUGACACAUGGGUCUAAAAUUUUCACUGAAAGUGUCAAAUAUCCACAUAGUAAUGGGUGUGAAAUGUUAAAAUUAUAGUCCCUAUACAUGUACCUUAAAAUAAUUAUAUAUUCAGUAGGGUCAUCGGGGGGGUGGGGGGGGGGGGGGUGCAUCCGAUAUAUAAUUACCUUCGUGUGACAGCUCUACAGAAUAUAUUUUAUUCGCCUUUGUAAAAAUGUACUGUGAAUGUUAUGAAAUUAUGCUCACAAUCUGAAUAUGUAGAGGAUGUUAAUUUACUCAUUAGCAUAUUACUGUGAUAUUACAUGUUAUUAUUUUAUGGAAAUGUUUUAUGACAAAUAAAAAUAUUGAAGACAAA
rnacentral:misc_RNA from 1 species